AACUCCUGAAACAGAUCAUUAGAAGACAACAUAUAGCAAGGUAAGAUGGAGACAUUUUUAGUUUACUGAAAGAUCAUCUAACAGACUUUUGGGCAAGAUGGCAAUGUGAUUACAGACAGGUAGUCAUCUAACCCUCUACAUUUUAUAUCCCCAUUAAAAUGACUAAUGAAUUUACAGAUAAGUGAAAACUUGUAUUACCACUAGAAAAAAAAAAAGGAUGGGAUGUACUGUUCAUGCUGAAAGCAACAAUGUUUCUGCAAGAUACAGUGUAACUGGGAUCACCUUGGGGAGGAGGGACUACUGGAAUCUGACCUGUGAGGUCUCUCAAAAAAGUGGCGUUUUGGGGAGUUUACAAGAUAAUAUGACAGACUCCCAAAUGACAUUUAUUAGGAGGGGCAAAGAACAGGGGUGGAAGCAGGUAAGCUGGCAUUUGUUCCUUUCCCUUCUAUAGAAGUAAGCCAUAGGGACUUUACCAGUGGCAGUAGAAAGUCAGUGUUUGGUUCUAGCAGAGGGAUCAAAACGGAGAUAUGGAAGAGGAAGAGAAACUUUUUUGAAGAAAUGGAUCUGUGGCACAAAGAAAAACUUCUUGCUUUGACUUUUACUAUCCCCUACCUCCCGAGGUUGAAGUUAUUCAACCUCCAAAGUGAUAAUUACAGCUGGGAUUUAGUCUAUCAACUCUCACCUCCUCCCCCUCAAACCUCUUUGCUAGAUCUUAAAAGUCCUUCUGGUAAAAAGAUAUGGUCACAGACUCACACAAAUGUCUGAAAACAAAAAAACCUAGCUCAACUCAGAUUUAGGUAGAGGGAAAACAGAUUAAGUAGAACAACCUGCUAAAAGACUGAAGAAGCAUAGAUCUCUGUAAGUGAUGAAAAGCACCAGUAAAAAUUUAGGAAUUUUUUAGGCAUGCUCACUAGAAAACAAGAUCAUUUUGAGCAGUAAACAAUACUUGACAUUAUGGUUAGGUUAUGAAUGUGCCAUAAAUGCUUUAAUUUCCUUAUAAUGUUUUAUAAUGUUUAAUUUGUCUCACUUAACGUCCUUUGCAGGAGGAAGAUAAAUCACAGCAUUCAGCUAAAAAACCCAAAACAAAAACCCAUGACAAAAUCGUGUUUAUGAAGAAGAUUCCCUCAUGCCUAGAGGUUGAAGAUUGCAUCGCAGAAUGAAGAGGAAGGAACUACUUUCUAAAACACUGCAUGCUACAACAAUUAAAACAAUCAUCUCAAGGGAAAAACAACAGAAAAUGUAAAAGCUGAUGACAAAAGGCGAAAGCACACUUUACUAUAAUGGAUAAACGAUGUACAGUUCUACACAGCAGAUAAAUUAAUAGAGGCCAUCAUUUGACCAGCAAGAGUUGCUUCUGCUCCAUCUUCAUUACUGGACAGGCCAGCGGAAACAGCAUUGAAGUGCUGCUGUGCAGCAGCCAAAGCUUCAGCAUCUUUAUUAGUUGCUUC